GUUCCAUUAGAUACAUUUCCAACUGAUUCGUGUGUGUGUGCUCCGUAUCUUGUUGAUGAAAUACCAUGGUUAUCAUGAAGUUUGACGGUGAUUUUGGCGGUCAGGAAUGUAGAAAAAUGUCAUUCACAACUCAAAAAUCUGCUUUAUAUUCAUAUACAAUGUGUAUAAAAGAACUGUACUAUAGUAGCUAAAAUGGUGAAAGUACAGUUUACUUCAAAAUGCGUGGUUCUAACCACAGCUAUGCUUAUAAUAAUCAGGUAAUAUAUAUAUAUAUUAGUGUACAGGUAUAAAGCAAACGUAUGACAAUACGGAAAAUAAAAUAACUAAUACUACCCAAAAUCUUAACCGAUUAAAAUUUCUAC
rnacentral:lncRNA from 1 species